rnacentral:rRNA from 1 species
UAGGGAAUCUUCCACAAUGGACGAAAGUCUGAUGGAGCAACGCCGCGUGAGUGAAGAAGGUUUUCGGAUCGUAAAACUCUGUUGUAAGGGAAGAACACGUACGAGAGUAACUGCUCGUACCUUGACGGUACCUUAUUAGAAAGCCACGGCUAACUACGUGCCAGCAGCCGCGGUAAUACGUAGGUGGCAAGCGUUGUCCGGAAUUAUUGGGCGUAAAGCGCGCGCAGGCGGUUCUUUAAGUCUGAUGUGAAAGCCCACGGCUCAACCGUGGAGGGUCAUUGGAAACUGGAGAACUUGAGUACAGAAGAGGAAAGCGGAAUUCCACGUGUAGCGGUGAAAUGCGUAGAGAUGUGGAGGAACACCAGUGGCGAAGGCGGCUUUCUGGUCUGUAACUGACGCUGAGGCGCGAAAGCGUGGGGAGCAAACAG